UUUGUUGGGGAGAAUAAAAAUCUGAAAUACCAGUGGCACUAGUUAACUUGAAAUAAAAGAGUUACAAUUUUCUCACUAACUAUUCAGAUAUUCAGGCUGAGUGUCCUUGUUCAAGAUAAACUGACACUGGAAUCACAAGAUAUGGAAAUAAUAACCAUCUAGCAAUUCUGCACAAAAAUGCAGAUCAAGCUAUAAGCUCUGCUCAGACCUUCCAAAUCAACAAUAUUUUAUGUGUUAGCUUUAAAAGAUUUAGCAGAAGCUUUCUCCUGAUGAAGCCUUGAGACCAUAAUCUCCAGCGCAAUACAAGAGACUGGAAUGUCCCUCAAGUCUGUGCUGACUUCGGUUAAAGGGGAGAUAAAGAAGAAACAGAUGGACUUGGUCCAGUAGCGGCUGAUGUUACUGUUCUCUGAGCAAGCACCGCCACAGAGAAACAGCAAGCUAAGCUGGUGCUGCCCACAGAGGUCUCCUGCUGCCUCGGAGGCAGAUUCACUUCUGCAGAGGAGAGCAGAGCAAGGAGCGUUUCUUUUGAAAAAACAAAAAAUAGAGAAUGUGUGAGAGGAACAAGCAGUCUAUUCAUUAAUUGAGGGAAGCGAUGCAAGCGAGGCAAAUUUGUUUCCCAGGCAAAUCGUUGCAAACAUCAACAGCAUGUCCAAAUGCAGGAACAUCCAGAGAUUCACAGCGUUCACUGGAAAAGUUUGAAAACGACUAGGGACACCAAAACCAAAUGUAUUCCGUGAUCCAUCUCCAGCUGUGACAUACCACUCAUAUAUCACAAAAACAGGGAAAAUAAAGCCUCACGUGCAUAAUAUUCAAGCCUUCACGUGUGCUGUUUAUUAUAAGUUCUAAAAUCUAUAAUA